UAAGGAAUAUUGGUCAAUGGGCGCAAGCCUGAACCAGCCAUGCCGCGUGUAGGAUGAAGGUUCUAUGGAUUGUAAACUACUUUUGUACGGGAAAAAAUCCCUUGGUUUCCACCGAGGUUUGAUGGUACCGUAAGAAUAAGGAUCGGCUAACUCCGUGCCAGCAGCCGCGGUAAUACGGAGGAUCCAAGCGUUAUCCGGAUUCACUGGGUUUAAAGGGUGCGUAGGUGGAAUGUCAAGUCAGUGGUGAAAUACUGUAGCUCAACUAUAGAACUGCCAUUGAUACUGUCAUUCUUGAGUACAUUUGAUGUGAGCGGAAUGUGUCGUGUAGCGGUGAAAUGCUUAGAUAUGACACAGAACACCAAUUUGCGAAGGCAGCUCACAAAAGCUGUAACUGACACUGAGGCACGAAAGCGUGGGGAGCAA
rnacentral:rRNA from 1 species